rnacentral:rRNA from 1 species
CGACUUAUAUUCUGUAGCAAGGUUAACCGAAUAGGGGAGCCGGAGGGAAACCGAGUCUUAAUUGGGCGUUAAGUUGCAGGGUAUAGACCCGAAACCCGGUGAUCUAGCCAUGGGCAGGUUGAAGGUUGGGUAACACUAACUGGAGGACCGAACCGACUAAUGUUGAAAAAUUAGCGGAUGACCUGUGGCUGGGGGUGAAAGGCCAAUCAAACCGGGAGAUAGCUGGUUCUCCCCGAAAGCUAUUUAGGUAGCGCCUCGUGAAUUCAUCUCCGGGGGUAGAGCACUGUUUCGGCUAGGGGGCCAUCCCGGCUUACCAACCCGAUGCAAACUGCGAAUACCGGAGAAUGUUAUCACGGGAGACACACGGCGGGUGCUAACGUCCGUCGUGAAGAGGGAAACAACCCAGACCGCCAGCUAAGGUCCCAAAGUCAUGGUUAAGUGGGAAACGAUGUGGGAAGGCCCAGACAGCCAGGAUGUUGGCUUAGAAGCAGCCAUCAUUUAAAGAAAGCGUAAUAGCUCACUGGUCGAGUCGGCCUGCGCGGAAGAUGUAACGGGGCUAAACCAUGCACCGAAGCUGCGGCAGCGACGCUGAUGCGUUGUUGGGUAGGGGAGCGUUCUGUAAGCCUGCGAAGGUGGCCUGUGAGGGUUGCUGGAGGUAUCAGAAGUGCGAAUGCUGACAUAAGUAACGAUAAAGCGGGUGAAAAGCCCGCUCGCCGGAAGACCAAGGGUUCCUGUCCAACGUUAAUCGGGGCAGGGUGAGUCGACCCCUAAGGCGAGGCCGAAAGGCGUAGUCGAUGGGAAACGGGUUAAUAUUCCCGUACUUGGUGUUACUGCGAAGGGGGGACGGAGAAGGCUAUGUUGGCCGGGCGACGGUUGUCCCGGUUUAAGCGUGUAGGCUGGUUUUCCAGGCAAAUCCGGAAAAUCAAGGCUGAGGCGUGACGACGAGGCACUACGGUGCUGAAGCAACAAAUGCCCUGCUUCCAGGAAAAGCCUCUAAGCAUCAGGUAACACGAAAUCGUACCCCAAACCGACACAGGUGGUCAGGUAGAGAAUACCAAGGCGCUUGAGAGAACUCGGGUGAAGGAACUAGGCAAAAUGGUGCCGUAACUUCGGGAGAAGGCACGCUGACAUGUAGGUGAAGUGAUUUACUCAUGGAGCUGAAGUCAGUCGAAGAUACCAGCUGGCUGCAACUGUUUAUUAAAAACACAGCACUGUGCAAACACGAAAGUGGACGUAUACGGUGUGACGCCUGCCCGGUGCCGGAAGGUUAAUUGAUGGGGUCAGCGCAAGCGAAGCUCCUGAUCGAAGCCCCGGUAAACGGCGGCCGUAACUAUAACGGUCCUAAGGUAGCGAAAUUCCUUGUCGGGUAAGUUCCGACCUGCACGAAUGGCGUAAUGAUGGCCAGGCUGUCUCCACCCGAGACUCAGUGAAAUUGAACUCGCUGUGAAGAUGCAGUGUACCCGCGGCAAGACGGAAAGACCCCGUGAACCUUUACUAUAGCUUGACACUGAACAUUGAGCCUUGAUGUGUAGGAUAGGUGGGAGGCUUUGAAGUGUGGACGCCAGUCUGCAUGGAGCCGACCUUGAAAUACCACCCUUUAAUGUUUGAUGUUCUAACGUGGACCCGUGAUCCGGGUUGCGGACAGUGUCUGGUGGGUAGUUUGACUGGGGCGGUCUCCUCCUAAAGAGUAACGGAGGAGCACGAAGGUUGGCUAAUCCUGGUCGGACAUCAGGAGGUUAGUGCAAUGGCAUAAGCCAGCUUGACUGCGAGCGUGACGGCGCGAGCAGGUGCGAAAGCAGGUCAUAGUGAUCCGGUGGUUCUGAAUGGAAGGGCCAUCGCUCAACGGAUAAAAGGUACUCCGGGGAUAACAGGCUGAUACCGCCCAAGAGUUCAUAUCGACGGCGGUGUUUGGCACCUCGAUGUCGGCUCAUCACAUCCUGGGGCUGAAGUAGGUCCCAAGGGUAUGGCUGUUCGCCAUUUAAAGUGGUACGCGAGCUGGGUUUAGAACGUCGUGAGACAGUUCGGUCCCUAUCUGCCGUGGGCGCUGGAGAACUGAGGGGGGCUGCUCCUAGUACGAGAGGACCGGAGUGGACGCAUCACUGGUGUUCGGGUUGUCAUGCCAAUGGCACUGCCCGGUAGCUAAAUGCGGAAGAGAUAAGUGCUGAAAGCAUCUAAGCACGAAACUUGCCCCGA